rnacentral:misc_RNA from 1 species
UUGCGAAACGAAUUGGCGCAGAUCAGCGAGUUCCUUACUGUGAGUCUUCUCUACGCGGCUACUUCUUUCUCCAGAUUCUUCAUUCAAUCCAUAAUCCUGACAACAACGCAGGGAUGUAUUGAGCUCUGCGUUUGAGAUCUGAUCCCUAAUCUAUCUAUAACCCAUCAUCUUUCUUUGCACACCAUGGGGAUUUUGUUUACUCGAAUGUUUUCUUCGCUUUUCGGGAAUAAGGAAGCUCGGAUCCUUGUUCUUGGCCUCGAUAAUGCCGGGAAAACUACAAUUCUCUAUCGGCUCCAGAUGGGGGAGGUUGUCUCCACUAUUCCAACAAUUGGAUUUAAUGUUGAAACUGUUCAGUACAAUAAUAUCAAAUUCCAGGUCUGGGAUCUUGGAGGACAGACUAGUAUCAGACCAUACUGGAGAUGCUAUUUUCCAAAUACGCAAGCUAUAAUCUAUGUGGUUGAUUCAAGUGAUACUGAUAGGCUGGUGGUCGCUAGAGAGGAGUUUCAUGCAAUACUUGAGGAAGAAGAGUUGCGGGGAG